AUCACUUGUCAGCCUUUUGGCUAAGAUCAAGCGUAGUAUCUGUUCUUAACAAUUUAAUACCUGAUAUAUCCUCUAUCCAGAGACAAUAUAUUACAUGGAUUUUUGGAAUUAGGAGAUAGGAUAGGAGCUUAUUCUCUCCACUCCACCUAUCAACCGGGUGUUGCAGUACCAUUACUUCAUUGUAGAGAAAGU
rfam:Canis lupus familiaris chromosome 4, whole genome shotgun sequence.